GACGAACGCUGGCGGCGUGCUUAACACAUGCAAGUCGAACGGAAAGGCCCUGCUUUUGUGGGGUGCUCGAGUGGCGAACGGGUGAGUAACACGUGAGUAACCUGCCCUUGACUUUGGGAUAACUUCAGGAAACUGGGGCUAAUACCGGAUAGGAGCUCCUGCUGCAUGGUGGGGGUUGGAAAGUUUCGGCGGUUGGGGAUGGACUCGCGGCUUAUCAGCUUGUUGGUGGGGUAGUGGCUUACCAAGGCUUUGACGGGUAGCCGGCCUGAGAGGGUGACCGGCGACAUUGGGACUGAGAUACGGCCCAGACUGCUACGGGAGGCAGCAGUGGGGAAUAUUGCACAAUGGGCGGAAGCCUGAUGCAGCAACGCCGCGGGCGGGAUGACGGCCUUCGGGGUGUAAACCGCUUUCGCCUGUGACGAAGCGGGAGUGACGGUAAUGAGUAAAGAAGCACCGGCUAACUACGUG
rnacentral:rRNA from 1 species